rnacentral:rRNA from 1 species
UACGUAGGUGGCAAGCGUUGUCCGGAUUUACUGGGCGUAAAGCGCGCGCAGGCGGGCUUGUCAGUCCGGGGUGAAAUCUCACGGCUCAACCGUGAGCGGUCCCCGGAUACUGCCAGUCUUGAGGUGUCUAGAGGAGAGCGGAAUUCCCGGUGUAGUGGUGGAAUGCGUAGAUAUUGGGAAGAACACCGGUGGCGAAGGCGGCGCUCUGGACCGAGACUGACGCUGAGGCGCGAAAGCGUGGGGAGCAAACAGG